ensembl:lncRNA
UAUUUGUUUGAUAUUAUGAAUGUUCGGAUGUUUGAUUUUGGCACGGAGUACCCGCCAUAGUGUGUGAGCCCAUGCACAAUUUACCUGCACUUCAUUCACUGCUCUCACUGGACGUGACAUCUCCGUCUGACUUAUAACGUGACGUCUGCGUCUGACUUUUUUUUUUUUUGAUUGCAGUUUUUACAUAGUCUUUUUCCCGGCCAACUCAAUAUACAUUAAUUGUGGGCAUAUUNAAAUAACAAAAGCAAUCCUUUAGCGAAGUUUGUGUUGCUUAUAGGUCGACUUAUGUCAUUUUUCAGGGGUGACUAAGGGGUAAAAUACUAACUUUUAAAAGUAUUCAUAAUGGUUCUGUAGGAAUUUCUGACAUCAAUAUUCCUUCUGUUUUACUUUAGCUUUGGAGAAUAGGUUGUAUGCAUCAGUGGGGAAGAUGAUUGCUGUGUGUGUCGUCCAUGGAGAAGUUGGCCCACAUUUCUUCUCCGAAAGGCUUUCUCAGCAGAUCUGUGGUAUGCCAACAUCCUCUGCCUCAGUGGAUGAGGUUGGAGAUCAUACAUUGAGGAAGCAACUAAUCAAGAUACAGGAAGCAACAGCUGUUCAGGAGGCAUAUUGUGCCAUUACAGAAGCAGCAGACAGCUUAAAUAUCAUUGGUGCCUUGAAAUAUAUAUCACACCUGACAGAAAGGAACUCUCUUGUCCAGUCAGCGGCAGAGUUCUUUGUAAAUGGAAGACUGCGAGCUGCCUUGGACCAGUAAGUGAUUUAAAGGGUUAAUCUGCCCAAAUAUUACAAUUCUGUUACUAAUUAUUCACCCUCAUGGGCUUCCACAUCCCAGGACUUUAGUUAACUUCCAGAACACAAAUACAGAUACUAACAUGCUAACAUUUCCUGAGAGUUGUCAUGAUAGAACACCUUUUGUGUUGCAAACAUACAGUAUAUGAAGGUCUUACGGGUUGACCUGGGCAAUUAAUGACAGAAUUGAAAUUUUUUUGGGUGAAGUACAUUUUUAAGCCUUUCCUUUCUGACAACAUAACUAUAAUCAGUGUUACGUUCCACGCGUGUUAUGUGUGCACUUUUACGCUCUUCUGUCCUAUUUUCUCUCUGUCUGCAGGUCGGUGUUUAUUGGCUGCUUCGACUGCCAAUCAUUUCUGAUGUCAUGAUGUCCUGCCCAUUUGCUGAUGCGCCAGCUGUAUUUAAGGGCUUGAUUUGACCGUGUGUGGCGUGCGCCAGGUCAGCGUACCUCGUGCUCCAACGCGGCCAGUUGUUUCGGGCUAUUGCCAUUUGUUUCUCCGGUUAACUCACUUUGUGCAGUCUUGCUUUGUGACGUGAGCUUUGAUCUAUAUAUAGAUUUGUAGAUAACAACGUCCGUGUUGGAAUUUUUGCCAUCGUGCCGUCAAAUUAAAGUUAAUCCAUCUAACUAAGUAACAUAGCCAUGAGCUUUUUGUUUUUGGUUUUGGUUAGAUUAAUUUGUAUUAUGUUAGCCUAGGUUAGUGAGUGUCGCACCACCCUUGUAUUUUUGUUUGUAGAUUAUGAUAGUUUAGCUUGUGCGUCAUAUGCGCUGAAGAUUUCGGUUUUAUUUUCACAUUUUCUUUUGUUAGUUUAGAGGUUAGUCGUAAGGAUUGGCUUAUUCUGUUUAUUUUGUUUAUUUGGAUGACACUUCUGCAUCUUUUGUGUAAUGUUAUUUAAUACUACCUUUUUACACAAUUUUAGGUACAGUUACAACUGAGUACAGCUUUUAUUAAUUUAAAGUUCCACUU